rnacentral:lncRNA from 1 species
UGUGCCAUCAACAAUCUGUUCAUGUGCCCCAUUUCCAUCUGUUCAUGUGCCCCAUUUCCGUAGAUAACGAAAAUACUUUGAGGCAUCUGUUAGUGCAUGUUGGGCUCAUGUGGUACAUCAAUUCCUAGUGCUAUUAACGAUCUGAUCAUGUGACACAUAUCCGUGGAUAACGAAAACACUUUGAGGCUCAUGUAUCUAAAUCUUCUGUGAGACUACACUACUUGAACUUUUUAUGUUUUUUUAUAUGCUGCUGCUCAUUUACGUCCGUCAAAUGGAUUUUUUGUUUUUGCUAUUUCUAUCUAUUUCUAGUGUGG